rnacentral:rRNA from 1 species
CCUACGGGUGGCAGCAGUGGGGAAUAUUGGACAAUGGGCGAAAGCCUGAUCCAGCCAUGCCGCGUGUGUGAAGAAGGCCUUCGGGUUGUAAAGCACUUUCAGUGGGGAAGAAAGCCUUGGGGCUAAUACCCUCGAGGAAGGACAUCACCCACAGAAGAAGCACCGGCUAACUCCGUGCCAGCAGCCGCGGUAAUACGGAGGGUGCGAGCGUUAAUCGGAAUUACUGGGCGUAAAGCGCGCGUAGGCGGUCUGAUAAGCCGGUUGUGAAAGCCCCGGGCUCAACCUGGGAACGGCAUCCGGAACUGUCAGGCUAGAGUGCAGGAGAGGAAGGUAGAAUUCCCGGUGUAGCGGUGAAAUGCGUAGAGACCGGGAGGAAUACCAGUGGCAAAGGCGGCCUUCUGGACUGACACUGACGCUGAGGUGCGAAAGCGUGGGUAGCAAACAGGAUAGAUACCCUUGUAGUC